UACAGAGGUGCCGAGCGUUAGGCGGAAUCACUGGGCUUAAAGCGUGUGUAGGCGGAUGCCUAAGUCCCUUGUGAAAUCCCACAGCUCAACUGUGGAACUGCUUGGUAUACUGGGUGUCUUGAGCCACUUAGGGGUUACCGGAACAAAUGGUGGAGCGGUGAAAUGCGUAGAUAUCAUUUGGAACGCCAAUGGUGAAAACAGGUAACUGGGAGUGUGCUGACGCUGAGACACGAAAGCCAGGGGAGCGAACGGG
rnacentral:rRNA from 1 species